rnacentral:rRNA from 1 species
AUGGCUACGCCGGCGCCGACGCUCGGGGAGUCGCUGGCGCACGUAACCCGCACUGAAAGGUGGGUGAUGGCCGUCUUCGCCCAGCUUUUCUGCCCUGUGGGGAUGACCUCGUCACUGAUAUACAGCUGCAUACACGAAAUCUCUCCUUCCUUCUUCAGCAGCGUCCCAUGGCGGCUGCCGCUGGUGCUCUCGUACGGCGCCUACAUGUCGGUGCUAUUCCUCAUUGAGUCCUAUGCGGAGUUGUUCCUGCCGCGCACGCCGGUGACCGUCAUCGAGAAGCUCCGCCUCGUAGGAGGGUGGGGCGUGGGCAUAGGGGUUCUCGGCCUGAUGUUGUCCGCCGUCCUGGGUGCGGCGGUCGAGGACAGCCGUGUCUUGGCCGCAUGCACCUUCCUCGUCGCUGUCUCCAUCGCCGGGCUCGUGGUGUUCUGGGUGUUGCUUGCUUGCAUGUACGGAUCGUUGGAGUCUUCUACGGUACCAGCUGCAACAGCGCAACUUCCACGGGUGCCUAUCUAA